AAGCUUACCUGGCAGGGGAGACGCCAUGAUCAGGCAGGUGGUUUUCCCAAGGCAAGGCUCAUGCCCUGCACUCCGGGUGUGCUGACCCCUGUGAUUUCCCCAAAUGAAGGAAACUUGACUGCAUAAUUUGUGGUAGUGGGAGACUGUGUUCACGCUGUCCACUG
rnacentral:snRNA from 1 species